rnacentral:rRNA from 1 species
GUGGGGAAUAUUGGACAAUGGGCGAAAGCCUGAUCCAGCAAUGCCGCGUGAGUGAUGAAGGCCCUAGGGUUGUAAAGCUCUUUUACCAGGGAUGAUAAUGACAGUACCUGGAGAAUAAGCUCCGGCUAACUCCGUGCCAGCAGCCGCGGUAAUACGGAGGGAGCUAGCGUUGUUCGGAAUUACUGGGCGUAAAGCGCGCGUAGGCGGUUUUUUAAGUCAGAGGUGAAAGCCCGGGGCUCAACCCCGGAAUUGCCUUUGAAACUGGAAAACUUGAAUCUUGGAGAGGUCAGUGGAAUUCCGAGUGUAGAGGUGAAAUUCGUAGAUAUUCGGAAGAACACCAGUGGCGAAGGCGACUGACUGGACAAGUAUUGACGCUGAGGUGCGAAAGCGUGGGGAGCAAACAGGAUUAGAAACCCUUGUAGUCC